rnacentral:rRNA from 1 species
GAUGAACGCUGGCGGCGUGCCUAAUACAUGCAAGUCGAGCGAACAGAUGAGGAGCUUGCUCCUCUGACGUUAGCGGCGGACGGGUGAGUAACACGUGGAUAACCUACCUAUAAGACUGGGAUAACUUCGGGAAACCGGAGCUAAUACCGGAUAAUAUAUUGAACCGCAUGGUUCAAUAGUGAAAGACGGUUUUGCUGUCACUUAUAGAUGGAUCCGCGCCACAUUAGCUAGUUGGUAAGGUAACGGCUUACCAAGGCGACGAUGCGUAGCCGACCUGAGAGGGUGAUCGGCCACACUGGAACUGAGACACGGUCCAGACUCCUACGGGAGGCAGCAGUAGGGAAUCUUCCGCAAUGGGCGAAAGCCUGACAGAGCAACGCCGCGUGAAUGAUGAAGGUCUUCGGAUCGUAAAACUCUGUUAUUAGGGAAGAACAAAUGUGUAAGUAACUAUGCACGUCUUGACGGUACCUAAUCAGAAAGCCACGGCUAACUACGUG